UGGUUCUCUAUUACUGCCCUCACAGGCAUUCCCUACCGUCAUCUCUCAGGCCAAGUCUGUGGGGGGUUCGGUUGUGGACCCUCAACCAGGAGUCUGAGAAGAAGAACCAAGCAAAAGGAAAGGAGGAAAGGAAGACCAAGAAGAAGGAGGGAAGACCUGGAAGAACUCACCUCCAAGACACAACCUCAGACCAGAACUGCCAGGAUUCCUCUGCAUGACCGUGACAUGUAGCAGCGAGGAUCCAGAGAGACUGACCUUGCCUGGCCAACAGGGGAAGUCUGCCUGCCGGUAUCAGGAUUGGUUUCAACAUUUUCCCCUAUCCUGCAUUGGGACCAAACUGAGGACUUUUGAGCGAAGUAGAACUAGACCUUCUAUAGCCCAGCAACAGGUUUGUUCCUGCUCUGAUCCUUGACCUUGACAUCAAGUCAGCACUUAACCCUAGCUUUGAAGAGGGUAUUAUAACAAAGAAAGGGGUAAGAAAACUCUUUCCUUGGAGAAGUCUGAAAAUCAGA